GAUGAACGCUGGCGGCGUGCCUAAUACAUGCAAGUCGAGCGAACAGACGAGGAGCUUGCUCUUCUGACGUUAGCGCCGGACGGGUGAGUAACACGUGGAUAACCUACCUAUAAGACUGGGAUAACUUCGGGAAACCGGAGCUAAUACCGGAUAAUAUAUUGAACCGCAUGGUUCAAUAGUGAAAGACGGUUUUGCUGUCACUUAUAGAUGGAUCCGCGCCUCAUUAGCUUGUUGGUAAGGUAACGGCUUACCAAGGCCACGAUGCGUAGCCGACCUGACAGGGUGUUCGGCCACAUCGGAAGAGAGGCACAGUCAGGACACCUACGCUGAGCGGCAGUAGUGAAGCUACCGGAAUGCGCGAGUGCCUGACGGAGCAAAGCCGCGUGAAUGCUGAAGAUCUUCGGAGCGUAAAACUCUGUUAUUAGUGAAGAACAAAUGUGUAAGUAACUAUGCACGUCUUGACGGUACCUAAUCAGAAAGCCACGGCUAACUACGUG
rnacentral:rRNA from 1 species